rnacentral:rRNA from 1 species
UACGUAGGUGGCAAGCGUUGUCCGGAUUUACUGGGCGUAAAGAGCGCGCAGGCGGUCGAAUAAGUCGAAUGUGAAAGCCCCCGGCUUAACUGGGGAGGGUCAUUCGAUACUGUUCGACUUGAAGGCAGGAGAGGGCAGCAGAAUUCCCGGUGUAGUGGUGAAAUGCGUAGAUAUUGGGAGGAAUACCAGUGGCGAAGGCGGCUGCCUGGCCUGUUCUUGACGCUGAGGCGCGAAAGCUGGGGGAGCAAACGGG